rnacentral:rRNA from 1 species
AUACAGAGGGUGCGAGCGUUAAUCGGAAUUACUGGGCGUAAAGCGCGCGUAGGCGGCUUAUUAAGUCAGAUGUGAAAUCCCCGGGCUCAACCUGGGAACUGCAUCUGAUACUGGUAAGCUAGAGUUUUGGAGAGGGAAGUAGAAUUUCAGGUGUAGCGGUGAGAUGCAUAGAGAUCUGAAGGAAUACCAGUGGCGAAGGCGACUUCCUGGCCAAAAACUGACGCUGAGGUGCGAAAGCGUGGGUAGCAAACGGGAUUAGAAACCCCAGUAGUCC